ensembl:lncRNA
UGUCAGUUCCGCACCUGGACCAGGCCUCAGCCCUGUUUUCUUCAGGACCUCUCAGAGUGUUCCUGAUGUCAUGGGCACGUAGGAACCAGAGAGGAACCUCUGCCCUGGACCUCUCUGCUGGAUCUCAGCUGCCUCAUGUUUCCUGGUGCUGUUUUUUUUUUUCUUUAAGAGUUUAUUCAAGUCAGAGGUAUCUGCAUUUAUAGCUUCUUCCUGAUAAUUCUUUCCUCUCCUGAUGGAGUUUCAUUUCUCCUGUGUUUCAGGAGAUGCCUGGGGGGUGGUGGUGUCCCCCAUUGGAUUCUAGUCUGAGGGAGUCUUCCAUGAUGGAAGUAGAUCUGUGUGUGAAAUGGAUACAUGAGUGAGUGUUGAGGGAGACGUUGGUUAACAGAUGGACAUUGCAGCCAUCCGGCGCAGUGGGAUGCCUGCAUCCCACACUGGAGUUUCUGGUUUGAGUUCAGGCUCCUCUUCUUCUGACCCAGCUUCCUGUGAAUGCGCUCCAUGGGUGGCUGACACUCAUGCAGAGACCGGGUUUGAGCUUUGGGCUUCUAGCUUUGGCCGAGCACCGCCUUGGCUGAGUCACACCCGGAGCAGAAGAAGCUGACUGAAGUGGGACUGGGGCAUCAGAAUGACGCUGGAUGCGGCAGGGUGCAGAUGUGUCCCGUGGCGCCAUGGCGACGGCCAGUGGGGACUGCGCCUGCGUCCUGCACUUUGACCCGGAAGUGCACACGCACGCAUGCAUACCCCGACUGCCCGCCAGCGCUCUUGUAGGAGUCAGCACCGCGUCCGCUGCUGCCCAAGAGCCUGCACAAGCUGUGAGGAGCCGUGCUCGACGCUGCUGGCCAAGACUGAGGGAGACCCAGCGGCUCCAAGGUCAGGCCAGGAUCAGGAGAGGCUGCAUGUCUGAGGCUGCAGCACUAUUUCCCAGGCGCGGUUGUCUUCUUCAGCCCCUUCCGGAAGCAACGGCCUUGGCAGACCUCUAUGCCGCCAGCAGACCGGGCCCCCUUGGAGGUGGGUAAGUGGGAGAACCAGACCCUGAGCCCGAGGCCCACGGUGAGGCCCCGGUACAAGUCCUUCUCUGACUGUGAGCUGGAUCACAACCACCUGAGCAUCAUCACCCUGGAGGAGGCCCCCUUCGUCAUCGUGGAAGACAUCAACCCGCUGACUGAGGCCUGUGUGCUGAACACGGUGCCGUGUCGGAAGUUCAUCAAAAUCAAGUGAGUGCCAGGGAGGCUGUGGUCUGGACAUGCCCACGCCUGUCACAUAGUGCAAGUCACUGAUCACAACAGCAUCUGUACUACAAAACAUAACACAGAACACACUGUUGUGAUAGCUGUAGUGUUAGCAAUGGGUUAUGUUUAUGAUUGCCUGGAGAUGCACUAAGUUUACAUGCAUUAAAUUCUCACAGCCAUAUGAGGUGAGGGCGUUUGCCAUUUACAGUUGAUACAGUUGAGUUAUGGGCAGGUUGCAGAACACGGCUGAAGCCAUCCAGAGGUAUGGCUGACUCCAGCUGUGUUCUUACCCAUGGUGCUCAGUCAUCCCCCAGCAUCCUAAAAAGUCUCUCCUUAAAGUCUCCUUAAAGGAUUUCUUUUUUUUUUUUUUUUUUGACAAGCAGAGUGGACAGUGAGAGAGAGAAAGGUCUUCCUUUGCCGUUGGUUCACCCUCCAUUGGCCGCCGCAGCCGGCGCUCUGCAGCCGGUGCACCAUUCUGAUCCGAAGGCAGGAGCCAGGUGCUUAUCCUGGUUUUAAACAUUUUUCUGUCCGUUCCCUCCCUGGCACGUCCCCCCUCCUCUGUAUUUCCCAGACCGGGGGUGGACACAGCCUGGGAAUGAUUUCCUGAUGCUGUGGAGGUGGAGUUUGAACCACUGACAGCAUGCCAGUGUUGCAUCCCUGCUGGAGAGUCACGGGUUGGUGGAGGUUGGAGGGGACUGUGCAGGGAAGUCAUGGGCUGGAGGAGGAUGGAGGGGACAUUGUAGGUUUGUUACCAAGGGCCGUUCUGAUUUCAGUGUGUGUUGGGAGCCAAGCUUGACCGCGUGAAGAAAGCAAGGAGCAUAACAUCUGUGGGACAACACCCUGUGUGUUUCAUUAUGGCUCAUGAGUGUAGUCUCUUCUUCAUAGUCAAUAGCAGGAGUUUACAGUCUUUGAAAAUCAGAAGGCCUAGAGCUGAAACCAAGCAGAUGUCCACAUCCCAGUUUGCUUGACUAUGAAGUACAUGAGCCAAAAAUCAAUGACUCCCUAUGAAAGAAUUGAUAUUUUUACUGAACACUGUGAACAGCGUCUCAGGUACAAGCUCAAAUUUUGUUGUUGUUGUUCCUGUACGGAGGGGGCAGCUUGUGACUUUGCCUUUUCUGCUUGAGAACAUGAGAAGUUUACUAUGUAUAGAGGUGAAUUAAAGCCUUUGACUUCCGUGGGAGCAAUACAAAAUUAGAAUCCAUGAAUCCCAACAUUAACGUAGGUUAAAGCAAUUAAAUUUCCUAAAUGUAGCAUUUUGAGCCAGGCUAAUUGGUUGCAAAAAGAAUUCCUGUUGGACAACAUGACUGUAUUUACUUGGUACUGAUUUUUCCAGGGAAAAACCUGCCCUUUCUAGCCUCUGGGAGAUUCUGGGGUCUUGGAGGCCCAUAUUAGUCUCCAAAACCAGUUUAGGUAUUGAAUCCAGUGGUUAUCACAUGGAAUAUAUACAAGGGUGGUACCCCAGAUCUGGGGUCAUCUCCCUGGAGGCUAGAGCUCAAAGUCUACAUGGUGAUCAUGGCUGUAGAAGCAGAGUGGUUGAGGCAAACUCAAGGGCAGCAUGACUGUGGUGGUGAGGAAGGUAGGUGGUUGGUGAUUCUGGAAUAAAGGAGAGCUCCAGGGAAAAGGUGGCA